UAGAACACAUAAUGCAUAAAGGAUUCUUUUAAGGAAAUGGUGUCUGAACUGGACAUUUGUGUGUAAUUUAUGUGUUUAUACACAUUUAUGUAAUUUUUAGUAUUUCUCAAAUACUGGUAUGUUUUAGUUUAAGUUAUGUAAAUUUAAGUCAUGAGCAUCAACUCUACAACUUUGUGUUAGUAUUUUAUGGAUUGCUUGAUUUUUAAUGUAAACAAAUAAUAGUAUAUUAAUUUGUAACAGCAAUAAAGAUAGUAUGGCUUCUUCUUAGAUUUCUUGCAGUAGAUCUAAUUAUCUCAAAGGACAUCAUAUCAAAAUACUAAUGGUGCCAUUAGCAUAGUAUAGAGGUUAGGAAUCUCUUACAUUGGAAACUUUUACUUUACAGUUGUCUGACCUGAGAACUGAGAUCAAGUGAUUAAGGAGCACUGGUGCCUCUCUGCAUUCUGUGAUCCAGUGUGGCCUCUCAAGCUGCCAGUCUGGUCUUUAAUAAGUUCAGUAAUUAAUAAUGUCAUCACAAGCAGAACAUGAAUACCUCUGUUUUGUCACCUGGAACACAAAUGGUAUAAAAGAGAAAUAAUUAAGAAGUUCCAGUCAACUGGAAAUGUUAUGAAUCAACCUGGAAGAGGACGUGUGUGUAUACUGUCUCAAUGUCCUGUGAAGAGGAUGGUUUGAGUGGCCAAAAAAUCUCCAUGGAUCACAGCUGGAGAAUUGCAGAAGUUAAUUGCGUCUUGGGGUCAGAAAGUCUCCAAAACUACAAAACGAAGUCACCAACAUCACCACAAACUCAAGUGUCUUCAGUUUGCCAGACACUAGUGGAACUUCUAAUGGGAUCGGGUUCUAUGGUGAUGAAACCAAAAUAGAGCUUUUUGGCAAUAAACAUCAGACGUGGUUUUGGCACAUACAGAGAGGUAGCCAUAUGGAAAAGUACCUCAUGUCCAUGGUUAAAUAUGGUGGUGGCUCUUUAAUGUUCUGGGGCUGUUUUUCUGUCAGAGGACCUGGACAUUUUAUUAGGAUACAUGACAUCAUGGACUCCAUCAAAUAUCAACAGAUAUUAAAUGAAAACCUGACUGUUUCUGCCAGAAAGCUUAAAAUGGGCCGUGGUUGGAUCUUCCAGCAGGACAAUGAUCCAAGCAUACAUCAAAAUCAACAUAAAAAUGGUUUACUGACCACAGAAUGGAUUCUGUAUAGAGGAAUGGUCUCAGAUCCCUUGCCAUGUAUUCUCCAACCUCAUAAGACGUUAAUCAUUUAGUUAAUGUGUCUAAUGAUUUGUAAAUGUAUUUACAUUUCCUGUCUAUGUUAACACAUAAUUAACUGAAAAGUGUACAUUUAUGUUUGGCUAAGUCUUUGCAUGACCUUACUUCUCUCCAAAUCAUAUGUAUGACACACAAACCCUUCUAGAGAGCUUUUUACAACAUCUAAUAUGACAGAACUUACAACAAAUGUAUUUCCUCUCUUCUCUGUCACUAGAUUUUAUGUCAAAAUUUUAGUAGUAGUGUAAUAAAUGUUGAGACAAGGAUAUAAGUGUGAAUUUAAUUAUUUUAAACAUAAACAGUCCAAAAUCCCCAAUCACAAACAUUUAAAGGUACAUUAGUUAAGAUUAGCCAAGAAUGGAGCUCUGGUGGUUAAUUAGGUACAACAAAAAUGGAUCGAUUUUGUCUCCUUGGACCCACUUACAAUUCUGGUCCAUGUACGUGAAGCACAACUACAGAAUGUACAGUGGCCAACACAGUUCAGUUAGAUGGGAGUGGGUGUUAGCAUAGUCAAUUAAUCCUGACAUGUCGUUUGCCCACUAGGCCACUUAUCUUGUUAUGGAUGUUAUAACACUUUCAACACAAUAUAUUUGUUUGAGACUGAUUUGCUGUCGUCAAGCGCCAUUACCGUCUUGUUUUUAAUUGAGUUUUUUUCCGUUCAGUAAUACCUAGACCACCACUGCAAACACAAGCACUUGUCAUUAAAAAAUUUUAAAAAUGCAAAGAGAAUGUAGAGAAUAUGCAAAGAUGGUAAUAGUAUUUUUUUCCUGUAAAAAAAAAAAAGUUAAAAUAUUAAUAUGAUGAUAUAUGAAAGAUGAAAAGCAUUCAAAUAAAUAUCUAAUCUAGUAAUCUAAUCUAAUCUAGACGAUAUCUAAUCUAGUAAAUUUUCAGUAUAUUGCUGCAGGUAUUGUCUUAGUUGUAAUUAUCACUUUAAUUAUUGCAAAUUUGGUUUUAUUUAACAAUAUGGCUUCCAUACUCAUUAUUCAGCAGCUUAUAAAAUAGCUUAAAAUUUUUAAUAUUGUGUCCAUUAGUACUUAUAUGUACACACAUUUAUGAAACCAUGACAUAUUACAUCAAGGUCAUGAAAUCAUAAUGUAUGCAUGGGAUAUAAGCAAGGUCUGAUUAAGAUGAGUUUCCUCUGAUGUCCUUUAUGCAAAUCAAACAAACAAGAAUGCACCUCAACCUAUGGAUUGUAUCAUAAAAAAGUAAAGUUAUUUUUUUUCACUGUUCAUUUGUCCCAUUUAUUGUAUUAAUUGAUAAUAAAAAGAACAAAAACAACUGCCUGUCAUGUUUAUUCACUAUUAUGCUUAUUUAUUAUGUUUAAUAAAUAUAUUACAUUUAAAAAUAAAAAGAGAAUAAAAAACACUACUGCCUGUCAUAGUUAUAUGAUCUGUUUAUUUAAAAAAUAUAGAAAAUAACUAUUUCCACAGGCUUUCAUUUUCACUGGGUUUCCUGUCAGUGUCCUCAAGCUGACUCCUGAGGUAAACAGUCUAAAAUGCACUCUGUCUUGCUAGUUUGGGUUUUGGCGAAACUUUCUGAGGAGUAGAAGAAGGUGUAUUUUAGAAAGAACAACCAUAUUUACGCCAUGCGUCCCUAAAUCAAUUAAACAGUCAUCAAUACAUAAUUUUCUAAUAUGUAUGUGAAUUCAUUACAUACAAGUUUUAAUUAAUACAGUCAAUCCACCAAAUUUCUGUUUUGUUAAUGUGUUUUCUGAUUUGUCGUUGUGUUUUCUGAUUUGUUAAUGUGUUUUCUGAUUUGUUAUUGUGUUUUCUGAUUUUUUAAUGUGUUUUCUGACUUGUUAAUGUGUUUUAUGAUUCGUCCUUGUGUUUAUAAUUUGUUGUUUUGUUUUUGGAUUUGUUAUUUUGUUUUCAUAUUUGUGUUUUGCUUUGCACUUCUCAGCCACCAUAAGCUGCUUUCUGUUUUUCACUUUCAUUUCUCUUGCUUUGUAAGUAGGAACAAAAAAAUAAAAU